rnacentral:lncRNA from 12 species
UGAAAAUAUAAAUAAGUGACAGAACCCUACUGAAAAUAAAGUUAAAUGACUAUGUAUGCAUGAGGUUGUGUUAAAAAUUAUCAUUUGCAAAUGUAUGUAUGCACAUAUGUAUGCAAUUAUAAAUGUAUUUUUAUCAUAAAUUAUUUAUAAUCUGUGUUCUCUAUAAGCCCACUUGCAAAAGAUCUACCAUGGAAAAAACUGUAUUAUCAACUGCAUAGCUGUUAGCUUAUUGUGGAAAUGUCAAAACACAACUCAAUAUUCAGUUCAAUUUAAUUCACCUUUGUAUGAAAAUGUUUUUUCUCUUCUUUUUUUUUUUUUAACCUCUUCUUACCCAUUAGCUAUGGUGUUCAGUAGCUUUUGCCAUUUUCAUCUCACUGAAGCUAUGAGCCUGAAGGCCUCAGUCAACUUUUGGGAGGACACCACGCCUUGUCUGUUAACACAGAGGAAUGUGUUUCCCCUCUGUGAAGUCUGGUCUGCCCAUCCCAAUAGCAGCCAGCCAGCAGGUGGGACUUGAUACAGCAAGAUUGACUAAACCUGGUUAGUGAAGGAAUUAAAAUAGACUCACAGCCCUGAUGUAGGUAAGGACCACUUAAAAAAAAAAAAAACAACAACAAACUGAA